rnacentral:misc_RNA from 1 species
GAUGAAGAACGCAGCGAAAUGCGAUACGUAAUGUGAAUUGCAGAUUUCAGUGAAUCAUCGAAUCUUUGAACGCACAUUGCGCCCGCUAGUAUUCUGGCGGGCAUGCCUGUUCGAGCGUCAUUUCAACCAUCAAGCCCUAGGCUUGCGUUGGAGCCCUGCGGCUGCCGCAGGCUCCCAAAUCCAGUGGUGGGCUCGUCGUCGUACCGAGUGCAGUAAACAUCCUCGCUCAGGGAACGUGACGGGUUCUUGCCGUGAAACCCCCCACAUAUCAAGGUUGACCUCGGAUCAGGUAGGAAUACCCGCUGAACUUAAGCAUAUCAAUAAGCGGAGGA